UACGUAGGGCGCAAGCGUUAUCCGGAAUUAUUGGGCGUAAAGAGCUCGUAGGCGGUUUGUCGCGUCUGCCGUGAAAGUCCGGGGCUCAACUCCGGAUCUGCGGUGGGUACGGGCAGACUAGAGUGAUGUAGGGGAGACUGGAAUUCCUGGUGUAGCGGUGAAAUGCGCAGGAUAUCAAGAGGAACACCGAUGGCGAAGGCAGGUCUCUGGGCAUUAACUGACGCUGAGGAGCGAAAGCAUGGGGAGCGAACAGG
rnacentral:rRNA from 1 species